GGGCGCAUGGUCUAGAGGUAUGAUUCUUCUUUAGGGCUUCAGCAUCAGCUAAAAAUCCAUAGAAGAGGUCCUGGGUUCGAUUCCCAGUGCGCCCC
rnacentral:tRNA from 1 species